UUACGGCAAUAUCACGUUGAAACACCAGUUCCCGUAUGAUCAUUAAAGUUAAGCAACUUUGAGCCUGGUCAGUAUUUAGAUGGGUGACCGCUUUGGAAUAUCAGUUAUUGUA